GCGCCGGAUCCAAGGCUAAGACUGACCCACCCAUGCCGCGUGAGUGAAGAAGGCCUUCGGAUUGUAAAGCUCUUUCGGCAGGAACGAAACGGCGCGCUCUAACAUAGCGCGUUAAUGACGGUACCUGAAGAACAAGCACCGGCUAACUACGUGCCAGCAGCCGCGGUAAUACGUAGGGUGCGAGCGUUAAUCGGAAUUACUGGGCGUAAAGCGUGCGCAGGCGGUUGUGUAAGACAGGUGUGAAAUCCCCGGGCUUAACCUGGGAACUGCGCUUGUGACUGCACGGCUAGAGUAUGGCAGAGGGGGGUGGAAUUCCACGUGUAGCAGUGAAAUGCGUAGAGAUGUGGAGGAACACCGAUUGCGAAGGGAGCCCCCUGGGCCAAUACUGACGCUCAUGCACGAAAGCGUGGGGAGCAAACAGGAUUAGAUACCCUGGUAAUCCACGCCCCUAAACGAU
rnacentral:rRNA from 1 species